GACGAACGCUGGCGGCGUGCCUAACACAUGCAAGUCGAGCGGGGUUGAAGCGAGGGGUAACUCGGACUUCUACCUAGCGGCGGACGGGUGAGUAACGCGUGGGCAACCUGCCUCAAGGUUUGGGAUAACAGCUCGAAAGGGCUGCUAAUACCGGAUAUGCCUGUGGCCUCGCAUGGGGCUAUGAGCAAAGGGGAAACCCGCCUUGAGAUGGGCCCGCGUCCCAUCAGCUAGUUGGUGAGGUGAAGGCUCACCAAGGCGACGACGGGUAGCCGGCCUGAGAGGGUGACCGGCCACACUGGGACUGAGACACGGCCCAGACUCCUACGGGGGGCAGCAGUGGGGGAUCUUGCACAAUGGGCGAAAGCCUGAUGCAGCGACGCCGCGUGAGCGAAGAAGGCCUUCGGUGUAAAGCUCUGUCUGGAGGGACGAAACGAAAUAGACGGUACCUCCGGAGGAAGCCACGGCUAACUACGUGCCAGCAGCCGCGGUAAACGUAGACGUG
rnacentral:rRNA from 1 species